UGUGAGUACGUCACACCUAGCAUCACCCCGGCUACUAGAGGUCCAAGAAGCAUUCCUAUGCCUCAUGUCCAAGCAGUGGCUGAAGCCACAUUUUAAUCAACGCCGCAGCGACUCGAACUUGGGACCAUGAGGAUAGAAAUUACGCUCAGUACCACUAGGCUACCAACUUGGUGGUAAGGGAAGCUUCUUGCUUCCACCACCUUCUUUUCAAAAAUAGAAAAACCACCAAUAAAAUCUAUAAAUAACUCUUGGAGCUUGCUAUUGUGCUCCUGUAAAAUCCGUACAAUAUGUAUUUUUUUGGGGGGGUAUAACAGCCGCUCGUACGUGUCAAGCACGAGUAAGGCCGACCGAAUCAAGAAAGAGUAAAUAACACAGGACGUAGGGCACUUUAGCCGUGUCAUCUCAUAUGAAACCUCCAGCAUAGUGGGCUGAAAACGAUGUCAUCAAAUCAGCCGCACUGUUCGCUUUUUUGUAGAUAUGUGUAGCCCUGGAGAGUCUGCCAGUAGUGAAAAGCCUACAAAUGUCACAUAGCAGCGGUCUAGAAUCCUCACUAGUGUGAGGGACCAGCCCACACACAGCAGGCUGGUGGGCCAAGCCCAACGCGGCCAGCCUAUCUAGAAACCCCAGCAGAGUCUGUGGAAAGAAGAUGGUUGUGAUUGCCGGCGGUUAUAACCGCCUAACAGCCACGAUUAAAGAGGGUUAUAAAUACCCACGGAUAGGGCUUCAUCCCUCCCCUCACCGCCUCUCUCUUCCUUCUCUUCUUGCAGCGGCAGCAACAGACCCACCCGGAUCUGCCACUGAGCACCGGAGGAGGUACCCCAGCUCGACAUCGUCGCCCACAGCUUCUUCCCGGAGCUAGGUGAGUCUUCUGAUCAGCGCCUCUCACUUCCUUCUCUUCUUGCAGCGGCAGCAACAGACCCACCCGGAUCUGCCACUGAGCACCGGAGGAGGUACCCCCAGCUCGACAUCGUCGCCCACAGCUUCUUCCCGGAGCUAGGGUAUUUGUGGAAGCUGGCCCAGACAAUAUGCUCGAUGUUGGAAGGGUUGGAGGCAAAGAAAAGGAGGGCGGCGGCGACGGUGCCGGUGGGGGAGUUUGCGAGGAGUUCCUCAUCCAUUUCACUAGGUGGUUGAUGGUCACAAGUGUUUUGAAGAAAUGGAAGCGGUUUCUAAUAACUCUAAUAUGGUCGAAACUCAACAACGCCUUGUUUGUCUCUCUUUAACUUCACAGUAUUUUCAACUCCGGUAAUACUCCUUUAGUUUAUUUUUGCUCGACGAUAGAAAUUAACAAAAGUAGGCAACAGCCAAAUUAGAAAUACAUUACUAGUUGCAUAUUUAUAAGAUAUAACGAAUUAGAAUGUGUAAAUAUUUGAGUUAUGGAUGUUUCAUUUCAUAUGCAUCACACA